GCGGCGGCUAACACAUGCNAGUCGAACGGUAACAGGAUGUGCUUGCUCAUCGCUGACGAGUGGCGGACGGGUGAGUAAUGCUUGGGAACUUGCCUUUGCGAGGGGGAUAACAGUUGGAAACGACUGCUAAUACCGCAUAAUGUCUUCGGACCAAACGGGGCUUAGGCUCCGGCGCAAAGAGAGGCCCAAGUGAGAUUAGCUAGUUGGUGAGGUAAAGGCUCACCAAGGCGACGAUCUCUAGCUGUUCUGAGAGGAAGAUCAGCCACACUGGGACUGAGACACGGCCCAGACUCCUACGGGAGGCAGCAGUGGGGAAUAUUGCACAAUGGGGGAAACCCUGAUGCAGCCAUGCCGCGUGUGUGAAGAAGGCCUUCGGGUUGUAAAGCACUUUCAGUUGUGAGGAAAAGUUAGUAGUUAAUACCUGCUAGCCGUGACGUUAACAACAGAAGAAGCACCGGCUAACUCCGUGCCAGCAGCCGCGGUAAUACGGAGGGUGCGAGCGUUAAUCGGAAUUACUGGGCGUAAAGCGCACGCAGGCGGUUUGUUAAGCUAGAUGUGAAAGCCCCGGGCUCAACCUGGGAUGGUCAUUUAGAACUGGCAGACUAGAGUCUUGGAGAGGGAGUGGAAUUCCGGUGUA
rnacentral:rRNA from 1 species